rnacentral:lncRNA from 1 species
UUGCCUUAUACAUUUCCAAUUAUCGUGUUACAUCAUACAACAUGUGUUAUCACAUAUCACAUAUAAAUUGAGUUCCAUACCCAAUUAACUUAGUCAUAUUUUGACUUUAACAAUUCAUAGAGCAUGAUAUGUAAUUUAGCACAUAACCACAUUCAAUCCACAAACAUAAUAGAACUGAAAAACUUGCCUUAAUUGAGGAUUACCGUUAUAGUUUACUCUAACUUCUUCUCACGAAUCCUACACAAUCGUGUUCACAUACACGCAUAUUAGAUAACCAAUUAUGUCACAUGACCUGUGCAUAUUAAAUAAUCAUAUAAGUCAUGAUCAUUAGUUACCAUAACCUAUAAUCUUUUAUUCUUGUCUUAUAACUAUUCUUGGUUUCUUUAGAAACUUUAUUUGUUUAAACCUUUUUAUACAUAAUAAGGUUCUCACAUGACUAGUGUAUAAAUACUUUACAUCCCGAAACAUAAACCACUUAUAUUCUAUUUUAAGAAUCUUCCUCUCUUUUAUAAUAAAUUCGGAACCAUAUAGUUUAUGAAUAGUUUUUACGACACAAACAUGGCUUACUACAUCAUUUCUUUAAUUUCGGUAAUGUUCAUACCUUUUCGAUAGUUCAUGUGUUAAAUCACGUUAUCGCCACGUACGCAAAUGCUUCACUAUAUAUGUAGCUUAGCUUCGCAUUAUUCCCGCGAAUAACUUACAUUUUCGCUUCGCUUGUACUUUAAAUUCAUACAUAUAGCAUUAUGUAAUUUUGUGUUCAAAAUCUCCGUUUCGAACUCCAGACACCUUCGUUUUAACACUUUUAUGUCCAAUAUAAUUUUAAAUGGGUUCGUGCAUUUCAUAUAGCUUUAUACCCGUUUUGCAUAUUAUUUCUCGGCUUACGUUUGCGUAAACAUGUAAACUUAUGUUUACAUUACAUGUUUAUUGUUUUCCUUACGCUCAAGAUGAGUUUUCACGGCAUAAAGUUGUUAUAUUACAUUUUUACUUCCAUUUCGGUGUCUUGCUACAUGCCAAAUCAUUAAAGCCAACCAAGAAUCGCAUCGCGGAAUCAACUGGCCAAACAGCCCAACGCUGCUAGCAGCUGGGCCUCGCGUGGCCCUGCGUGGCUUAGCCGGGCUCGGCGUUGCCUGGGCAGUUCCCUUGCUUUGACACUCGUUUCGUGAUGUUAUAUCUUUUAAACCACUCGUUCAUAUGAUUUGAAUUUUGGAUAUGUUUGAGGUAGUAUAUCCAUCUAAUUAUAAACAUUAUAAUCCAAGCAUUACAAGAAACCCAAAUUGCCAGAACCACAAGCCAAACCCAGCUGGGUGAAUUGCAUAGCACAGCGCCGAACGGCAUGUGCGCGCGGCUGGAGUAGCGCAUGCCCAGCUGGGCUGCUGCCCCAAUAACGAAAUGCCUAGUUUGCGCAUUUUUAACUUUUCGCUCGUAGUUCGAAUUGCAACCAAUUUUUGAUAUAUUGAAAACACCCUACUAGACUAUAUAUAGAAAAUAUAAGCUACCCAUUUCAGAAACUUUAAACAGUCCAAACAAAGCUCCAAAAAUGCUGUGUCAUAACAGUUUUUAAUUGUUUUCCAGCUUGACUCUGUUGCGCUAAAACAGUCAUAACUUCUUCGUUUCAAAACAUUUUUGAGCGAUUCUUGAGCCCACACGAAGCUAACUUCCGGGACUACAACUUUAUUCUUUGACCAUUUUCAAAUUCUAAUCACAGAAUUCCAGAAAAUUCGUGUAAGGGCUGCUUCGAAUCUGUUUUCCAGAAUUUUGGCAGAUUCGACGCGACUACUUUGAACUGUUAUAACUCCUUGCUCCGAAGUCGGAAUCAGUCCGUUCCGGAGUCUAUGGAAAGCUUAUUCAGUGUACUACACAUCCCCAAAAGCCCAGAAUUUUCUGGAAAGUCUAGGUAGUCCCGAAUUUUUCUUUCAAGGUCAGCAGCCAAAUUAGUUUUCGGUUUCUAAUAUAUUUUACUAAUUUGAAAUCCUCAAACUACGCAUCCAAUAAAAACCAAGUUCUGGUAUAUAGCAGAGGGCAUAGCAAGGUAUUUUUGAAAAAUAUAACAUAUCCCAAACAAGUAUCUUGAGUACACUUUAUUGAAUGCCCAAUCUGCCCUGCCGAAUAAUUUUUUAAUCCAACUUUAACAUGUUGUUUCCCUUCAAAAAAAUAGCUUUCUUUCUUAAUUCAAUCCAUACAAGUCAUUUAAUUAAUUUCAUAUAACAUGCCCAUAGACAUCUUUGGCCUUACUUUGCUUAAUUUCAGUCUUUUAAUCAAAACAGCCCCUAAGAGGACUUUUGACAAACAAGUGGUGUACGCUGUUUUGAUACACAACUUUCAUAGCCAUUUAUACAUACAUUCUCCGAACACAAUCCAUCCUUGUACCUUCGGAAUCCUCCGUGAUUCCCCAACACAUAAAACCCCCACAAUAACCCAAUCAAUUACUAACAAUUCACGAAAUUCUUAAUAAAAAAAAGUCAAAACAAAGUAAACAUACCUUGUUUCUUUUUUUCUAAUUAUCUUGAAUUAUAUCUCCAAUUGAUUUAGCAAUUCUUUCCUUUGUAAUUUGCCAACAAUUCCUUCAUUUGUUUGCUAAUGUUUUCUUCAAUUUCAGUUCAAGACCUCAAUUGCUCGGUAUUAGCCCUUUAUUGGAUCAAAGCUUUGGUUCUUGAAUGAAGAAGAAGUUUGGGAUUUGAAUUACUUGGAGGCUUUAAUGUUUUUGAAUAAGGAACAUGGAACGGAUGGAUUACAUAAGAAGACAGCUUCAACUCUUUUUAAUUAUCAGUAUACCCUUAAAUAUUUAGACGAUUUGGGAAUUCCUUUGUAUCAGAACAUGGGAGCAUGAAGAAUUUGUGGUAUGGAAGUGUCAAGACUCGGGAAUUAGAGAGAGAUGAGCAACGGAUGAAGCUUAGGGAGGGAUAAAGAAUGCUUAAAACUGUUUUUGUGAAAUUAGACUCCUUAGUCAUUCCUUUCAUUUGUCUGAUACAUGAUAAC